rnacentral:lncRNA from 1 species
CCCGGCCACUGUUUGUCAGUUUUGCAUUUAGUGUUAGUCUUGUAAUAUUAGGCACCAAGCCACCAAGUCCAAUAAGAAGACAAUGUAAAGUAAUUUGGAAAAAAAAAUAAACUUCUCUCAUCUAGCUAGUCAGCUUCUCUAAUAUUCCUCUGCCUUUCUAGUUUCUUCUCCGGAUCUGUGGGCUGUGGCGGUAAACAUCUCUGAUCUCUCAUCUUCUCUAAUAUUCCACAGAUCUGUGGUGGUAAACAUCUCGAUCUCAUCUUCUCUAUUAUUACAAAAUCAGUGGCGGUAAACAUCUUUCAUCUUCUCUAUUAUUACAAAAUCUGUGGUGGUAAACUUCUCCAGAUCUGGAGAUCUUCUAUAUUAUUACAAAAUCGACAGUAUGCUCUUAGAAUAUUCUCCAGAUCUGUAUGCUCUCACCAAAUCGACAGUCUACUCUUAUCUCUCAUUUUCUUUCACCAAAUCGAUCUCUAGAACCAUGAUCUCAAAUUUGUUCUCGAUCUUGAUUUCUCAGAAUACUCAGUUCUUAAUUUCGGUUAUUACCCGAAUAACCGAA